CAUUACGAUAGGUGCACCUUAUAUGGUGUGAUAAACAGGGGAGAUAUACAACUCCUUCAUUACGAUAGGUGCACCUUAUAUGGUGUGAUAAACAGGGGAGAUAUACAACUCCUUCAUUACGAUAGGUGCACCUUAUAUGGUGUGAUAAACAGGGGAGAUAUACAACUCCUUCAUUACGAUAGGUGCACCUUAUAUGGUGUGAUAAACAGGGGAGAUAUACAACUCCUUCAUUACGAUAGGUGCACCUUAUAUGGUGUGAUAAA